rnacentral:rRNA from 1 species
GACGAACGCUGGCGGCGUGCUUAACACAUGCAAGUGGAGCGACGAACCAGGGCUUGCCCUGGGGCAGAGCCGCGAACGGGUGAGUAACACGUGGGUUACCUGCCUCGAUGACCGGGACAACCCGAGGAAACUCGGGCUAAUACCGGAUGUGCCCGCAAGGGGAAAGGAAGCUUCGGCCUCCGCAUCGAGAUGGGCCCGCGGCCCAUUAGCUUGUUGGUGAGGUAACGGCUCACCAAGGCUUCGAUGGGUAGCUGGUCUGAGAGGACGAUCAGCCACACUGGGACUGAGACACGGCCCAGACUCCUACGGGAGGCAGCAGUGGGGAAUCUUGCGCAAUGCGCGAAAGCGUGACGCAGCAACGCCGCGUGGGGGAAGAAGGCUUUCGGGUUGUAAACCCCUUUCAGUUGGGACGAAGCUCCGUCGGUUAAUAGCCGGUCGGAGUGACGGUACCUUCACAAGAAGCACCGGCUAACUACGUGCCAGCCGCCGCAGUAA